rnacentral:lncRNA from 1 species
AGGGCCGGCAUGAUGGCCGGCCUGGGUGGCCGGAGGCCAUCCCUCGGUCGACGGCUGGCCGACUGCGGUGGCGGCCGGUGGCCGCUGCGGUGGCCGGCGUCAAAAGAACAACCGAGAAUGAUCUCGGUUUGGGGCCAAAAUAAAGAAAAUAUGGCAUGAUUGAUCUUGGAAUCAAAGGCUGGAGGGAGCUUACCGACGGUGGGAGGAAGAUCUCGGCCGUGGCAGCCUCGAUCCAGUGGUCAAGCG